rnacentral:tRNA from 1 species
GGGACGGUAGCUUAGCCUGGGCACCCUUUCUUUAGAAAAGAAAGCGUGCACGGAAAGAAAAAGAAUGCACGGAAAGAAAAAGAAUGCACGGAAAGAAAAAGAAUGCACGGAAAGAAAACAAGGAAAGGGCGGGGCAACUAGAGCAUCCGACUGAUAAUCGGAAGGUCGCCCGUUCAAAUCGGGUCCGUCCCA